AAUUCCUCUCAGCUGCCAGUCUUUUAAUUGGAGAAGUUAAGUUCGUUGGAAGCGGGACUCCCAUUUCCCUAACCUUCCGACCAGCUGCUUGUUGUUCAGCCAUAGGAACAGUACUCCCUUGGUCUUCUUGGAUUUGUGGAAUUCUGGGAAGAAGGAUUAUUUCUGUCUAACAUUGGGAGUAAAGUUGCUCGGGUUCCAGGCUUGGCUCUACCAACUCCCAAUCCCCU
rnacentral:lncRNA from 1 species